rnacentral:lncRNA from 1 species
AAGAGGUUCGAGCGAGCCGACUCGAGGAGCCAGAACGCCACGUCAGCUGCAUUCAUGGUGGCAGGGACCACCCUGAAGGUGACGUCAUGGCGCGGGGUCACGCAAGGGAUAGUGAACAGCCAGGCCUCGUUCGGAGCUCGCCUUCUCCUCAGCGGUAUUAGUCAGUGUAUCGCUGGGCUCCUUUCCGUCUUGACUCCAGCCUGUACCUUCGAUACCUCAAGCUUAGCGCCGUCCUUCUUGUUUGUUGGUGCAGUUACAAGGGGCGGCAGCGUGUAGGACAAGGCAGAAAUCUGUUCGUUCUCCAUGAAAAGUGAAGCGAGGCAUCUACUCUCCCAGUGCAACAAGAGACAGUUUCCUGCAGCAUUAUGGGGUGGUUCGCUUGACACUUUCGUUCGGAUAUCCCUACAGAAGCAGCAUCAUGUAAGUCCAUUCAAAGUAUGGCAUCUACUUAGUGCAACGUGAAAGUUCCUGCAGCAGGAUGAGGAUUGUUCGCAGGCCACGCUGGUUUGGUUUUCCCUACAGUAGAGGCAGUGCGGAGUAUUCGCAGGCCACGCUGGUUUGGUUUUCCUACAGUAGAGGCAGUGCGGAGUAUUCGCAGGCCACGCUGGUUUGGUUUUCCCUACAGUAGAGGCAGUGCGGAGUAUUCGCAGGCCACGCUGGUUUGGUUUUCCCUACAGUAGAGGCAGUGCGGAGUAUUCGCAGGCCACGCUGGUUUGGUUCUCCCUACAGUAGAGGCAGUGGGGAGUAUUCGCAGGCCACGUUGGUUUGGUUCUCCCUACAGUAGAGGCAGUGCGGAGUUUUCGCAGGCCACACUGGUUUGGUUCUUCCCACAGUACAGACAGUAUCCUAAGUCCAAAAUAUGGAAUUUGAUUUCCCAGUGCAGCACAAGACCGUUUCCUACAGCAUGUUGUCAAUUCACGUUGACUAUGAGCGGACCACUUGCCAUAGCGCUAUACUCAGGCCACACUGGUUUGGUUCUCCCUUCAGUAAUGGCAGCGCUAUACUCAACUCCCAGGCCACACUGGUUUGGUUCUCCCUUAAGUAGUGGCAGCGCUAUACUCAACUCCCAGGCCACACUGGUUUGGUUCUUCCUUCAGUAGUGUCUGCAUCGAAGUUGAUUCCGAAACACCGAGCACAAUGGAGUUUGUCGUCCACCUACCUAAGAAGCGCCGAACACACUAGUGUUCUACCAAUGGCAACGUCCUCCGCUGCGCUCCUGUGCCUUGCUCCGCUGGCCUCCACACAGCAGCGGCACGUCACUCAACCGCACGAAACCCCUCCCGUCAUGUAUGUCAAGCUCCCCGAUGCUGCUUGUACGUAACACACUCAAUCCCAUCUCUCUGGCCUCGGUAAAAGUUUAUCCUAGUAGCUUUAAACACCGACAGGCAUUCGCUUUGCAUCGACUAUUCAAGAAGAUUACGCCGCCACCCAACACAGCUGUUCAUUACUGUUGAACGAGACUGGUGGCCCUCUUGGAAGUUGUGGGAAAUAUUACUACACGGAGAAAUUUGGAACUGCAUCUGCUCCUUAAUACUCAAAGAAUGGCGUACUUCCUCUGCUCUGUGAACUGAUCCAUACGUGGACCAGGAGAACUACUUCCUGCUUCUUUUCCCGGACUGGAUGAACUGUCCCGCCACGCCAGCAGCAUUCACGCUAGCAGAGACCAGCCCGAAAGUGACGUGGUCAUUGUAGAGUCACACGGUGGACAUAACAUGGCCAGCCUGACCUUGUGGAUCUUGGAUCUCGCCUUCUCGGCGUCUCUGCUCUGGACGCCUAAUGUUUCAGCCCCUCCAACCACCCUGUACUUCUGGCCCAUUAAACUGAGCAUAUUC